rnacentral:misc_RNA from 1 species
UUUCUUAGAGACCUAAAUAAAUUUAGUUAAAAUAAAUAAAAAUAGAGCCUGACCUAGUGAGAUAUCUCAACAUACAGCACGAUGAACACUUUCUCCAAAUUCGAAUGCAGUCUAGUAAUACAAGCCUAACACAAAUCAGGUCCUGCCUUGACAACUACAAGCGCCCAAAGUCAUCCAGUCAAUACUUAAAACAGAAACGUUGUGCUCCUGCCUCCACAAUUGUAUCAGCAGCGAUGUGUCAAGGGAAACCCAAAACACUGGAACAAAAUCUCAGACUCGAUCCUACAGAAUUACAGUUGUGCCGACCGGACAGGCAAAACAUGCUGGGGGCCCCUAGCAUUUUCCAGCAUCUUGGGGCAGCUAAGAGAAUCUCAGGCGUCAUUGGCAUAUGGGGACUCGUCGCGUUGUGGCUGCUGUCCUGGGGAUCCACUAUAGCUUCUUCUGGCAUCAGGAGGUGGUGGUGGCGACCUGCUCACGUCUCGGGCUGCCGGUGGUGACCUGCUCACGUCUCGGGCUGCCGGUGGUGACCUGCUGUUAUUUCUGGGAGGAGGCGGCGGCAGCGGCGGUGACCUGCUGAGACUCCGUGCAGGAGAUCCCAGUGGCGACCUGCUGUAA